AACGAAUCUCAACUUCAACACUAGAGCAAUGUUCUGAUCAACUGUCAUUGCACCAUACCUUAGCAUGUAGUAUGUACUCUUCAAUGUCAAUGCAGUAUCCAUGUGUUGUAAUUAGAUUAAUGCCUGACAACCUUGUUAGUCAUCCAAAAAAGGUUAUCGAACUUUAUUUAUAUUUAACAGGUCUUACAUGGUGACCACUAUUAAGGUGGCUCCAUUGAGGUUGGCUUGAUCAACUUGGUGUUUCAAUGUUGUGGUGACCUUUUUGUUAUCCAGCAUCUCUUUGUAUGACGUUUACCGUGUUCACAAAUCACAAGGG
rnacentral:misc_RNA from 1 species